UGCCUAAGACAUGCAAGUCGAGCGGGGCAGGUUUAUACCUGUUCAGCGGCGGACGGGUGAGUAACGCGUGGGUGACCUACCCGGAAGAGGCGGACAACCUGGGGAAACCCAGGCUAAUCCGCCAUGUGGUCCUGUCCUGUGGGGCAGGACUAAAGGGUGGAUAGCCCGCUUCCGGAUGGGCCCGCGUCCCAUCAGCUAGUUGGUGGGGUAAAGGCCCACCAAGGCGACGACGGGUAGCCGGUCUGAGAGGAUGGCCGGCCACAGGGACACUGAGACACGGGCCCCACUCC
rnacentral:rRNA from 1 species